UGUGUGUGUGUGUGUGUGUGUGUUUGUGUGUGUGUGUGUGUGUGAACUGUGUGAACUCCUGAGGAGGACCUUGACAAUGCAGGGAAAGUGAAUGACAAGUCAAUCUGCAUUCCAAUGGAGGAGGAAGACCCAGACAGGGGUAAAUAGUAGGGUCACUAGCCAGGGGACAGGUUAGGUUAGGGGGCUGAGGAGGCUGUUAUGGUUACAGUCAGACAGGGGACAGGUUAGGUUAGGAGGCUGAGGAGGCUGUUAUGGUUACAGUCAGACAGGGGACAGGUUAGGUUAGGAGGCUGAGGAGGCUGUUAUGGUUACAGUCAGACAGGGGACAGGUUAGGUUAGGGGGCUGAGGAGGCUGUUAUGGUUACAGUCAGACAGGGGACAAGUUAGGUUAGGGGGCUGAGGAGGCUGUUAUGGUUACAGUCAGACAGGGGACAGGUUAGGUUAGGGGGCUGAGGAGGCUGUUAUGGUUACAGUCAGACAGGGGACAGGUUAGGUUAGGGGGCUGAGGAGGCUGUUAUGGUUACAGUCAGACAGGGGACAGGUUAGGUUAGGGGGCUGAGGAGGCUGUUAUGGUUACAGUCAGACAGGGGACAGGUUAGGUUAGGGGGCUGAGGAGGCUGUUAUGGUUACAGUCAGACAGGGGACAGGUUAGGUUAGGGGGCUGAGGAGGCUGUUAUGGUUACAGUCAGACAGGGGACAGGUUAGGUUAGGGGGCUGAGGAGGCUGUUAUGGUUACAGUCAGACAGGGGACAGGUUAGGUUAGGGGGCUCUUGGUUCUUAGUGUGUUUGUCUGGGCAUGUUGAGCAGUGGUUUAGUUGUGCAGUGGUUCUGUGGGUUCUAGAAUAGUUCAACUAGAAGUGAAUUUUGGGUCAUUCCAGAUGUGACAAAGUCCAGAUGAAAUCUAGAGGGGUGAAAUCUAGAGUGGUGAAAUCUAGAGUGGUGAAAUCUAGAGGGGUGAAAUCUAGAGGGGGUAUAGGACAUGUUGAUUGUAUAGAGGAGGAUUGUAGUUCAUGUUUUAUUUUGAUAGUUCUAUUGACCAUUUUAUCUCAUCAUCUCAUCAAACUGAACUACAGAACAUAAUAAUAUAUAUUUUAUCUCAUCAAACUGAACUACAGAACAUAAUAAUCUAUAUUCUAUCUCACCAAACUGAACUACAGAACAUAAUAAUCUAUAUUUUAUCUCACCAAACUGAACUACAGAACAUAAUAAUCUAUAUUUUAUCUCAUCAAACUGAACUACAGAACAUAAUAAUCUAUAUUUUAUCUCACCAAACUGAACUACAG
rnacentral:lncRNA from 1 species